rnacentral:rRNA from 1 species
GACGAACGCGGGCGGCGUGCUUAACACAUGCAAGUCGAACGGUAAGGCUCCAGCUUGCCGGGGUACACGAGUGGCGAACGGGUGAGUAACACGUGGGUGACCUGCCCUGCACUUCGGGAUAAGCCUGGGAAACUGGGUCUAAUACCGGAUAGGACCGCACCGUGAGGGUGUGGUGGAAAGUUUUUUCGGUGUGGGAUGGGCCCGCGGCCUAUCAGCUUGUUGGUGGGGUAAUGGCCUACCAAGGCGGCGACGGGUAGCCGGCCUGAGAGGGUGGACGGCCACAUUGGGACUGAGACACGGCCCAGACUCCUACGGGAGGCAGCAGUGGGGAAUAUUGCACAAUGGGCGGAAGCCUGAUGCAGCGACGCCGCGUGGGGGAUGACGGCCUUCGGGUUGUAAACUCCUUUCACCAUCGACGAAGGGUUUCUGACGGUAGAUGGAGAAGAAGCACCGGCUAACUACGUGCCAGCAGCCGCGGUAAUACGUAGGGUGCGAGCGUUGUCCGGAAUUACUGGGCGUAAAGAGCUCGUAGGUGGUUUGUCGCGUCGUCUGUGAAAUUCCGGGGCUUAACUCCGGGCGUGCAGGCGAUACGGGCAUAACUUGAGUACUGUAGGGGAGACUGGAAUUCCUGGUGUAGCGGUGAAAUGCGCAGAUAUCAGGAGGAACACCGGUGGCGAAGGCGGGUCUCUGGGCAGUAACUGACGCUGAGGAGCGAAAGCAUGGGGAGCGAACAGG